rnacentral:rRNA from 1 species
GUUGUAUUUAUUAGAUAAAGAACCAAUAUUUUUGGUGACUCAUAAUAACUUUACGGAUCACAUUAUGUGACAUAUCAUUCAAGUUUCUGACCUAUCAGCUUUAGACGGUAGGGUAUUGGCCUACCGUGGCUAUGACGGGUAACGGGGAAUUAGGGUUCGAUUCCGGAGAGGGAGCCUGAGAAACGGCUACCACAUCUAAGGAAGGCAGCAGGCGCGCAAAUUACCCAAUCCUAAUACAGGGAGGUAGUGACAAGAAAUAACAAUACAGAACCUUACGGUUUUGUAAUUGGAAUGAGUUAAGUAUAAACCCCUUAACAAGUAUCAAUUGGAGGGCAAGUCUGGUGCCAGCAGCCGCGGUAAUUCCAGCUCCAAUAGCGUAUAUUAAAGUUGUUGCAGUUAAAAAGCUCGUAGUUAAUCUUCUGUUAAUUUUUAUAUAUAAUAUUUCGAUAUUUAUAUAAUAUUAACAUAAUUCAUAUUACUUUUUAGUAUAUGAAACUUUACUUUGAGAAAAUUAGAGUGCUUAAAGCAGGCUAUUGCCUUGAAUACUCCAGCAUGGAAUAAUAUUAAGGAUUUUUAUUCUUCUUAUUGGUUCUAGAAUAAAAAUGAUGAUUAAUAGGAACAGUUGGGGGCAUUUGUAUUUAACAGUCAGAGGUGAAAUUCUUAGAUUUGUUAAAGACAAACUACUGCGAAAGCAUUUGCCAAGGAUGUUUUCAUUAAUCAAGAACGAAAGUUAGGGGAUCGAAGACGAUCAGAUACCGUCGUAGUCUAACCAUAAAC